GUUAGAAAACAAAUUCGCAAAUUCAUCAUAAUGUGAAGUCGGUGAUCUUGCAGUCUUAGAAAAAAAAAAAAAUUGAGCGAAAGAAAGUCUGCGCAACGCCCGUAUUUCGCAUCACGCAACCACUCUCUCAACCUCGGCAUCACAGCGACAGCUGUUCACCAAGCUGUUUGGGGCAAAUGGUCAGUGGAUUAUGCGCAUAAUGGAUUGGACUCACGAGUGACGAGUCACGAUCGAAGACUGACCGUUCUCCGGCCGACAGACGACAACUAGCUCUGCGGUUCCACCCGUUCCACCAUCCAAGGAAGACGGGCGAAAUUAUUUCUCUCAAACAGGGGAUGUCAAGUAAAGGAAAUUCAAGCACAAAUGUGGUCCAGCACCCUGAUUUUGGGGAGAGAGAACUAAGACAAACAUCACAGUCAAGUCGUCCCAUUCGCCCAUUGAAUUUUCAAUAAUCGAGUGAUUUUGAGCAAGUUGUGUUACAAAACCCUCCUAAAUGAGCAUAUUUGGUGUUAAUCAGUGAACGCACAAUUAAAUUGGCUCAAUACCACAAUGAUAAUUGCCUAGACAAACAUGUAAAAUGGAAAAAAAUGUCAAAAUCCAAUGCAUGCACAGUGCGGUUUGGCUGGGCAUGUUGUCUUUGAUUUUACGCCAUGGAAUAACGCAUGAACGCGUUUACUUGACUAGCCCUAUAAAAAGAUCAGGAACGGUCAGCUGAUUCUCCUUCCCCCUAUAAAAUUUCCUAAAAGUAUAUUUCAGUGCCCAAGCAUUCUAUGCUCAGAAAGAACCCAGAAUAUAUACGCUCUCAGGUUAAGUAUAUGGGUGAUGUUGCAUGGCCGAGUGGUGGUAAAUGACUAGAUGUUUAUUGCAUAGAGAGGCGGGUAUAUAUACAGGAAAAGGGAAGCUAUGGAGAGCAGUGAGAGAAGGUGUAGAGCGAGUAUGAGAGAGAACUAUGGGUGACUAGAAUGAGAAUACAACAUCUCCCUUCCCUGGGGAGGAUUGGGGAGCCAGAACGGGAACAAUUUACAAUGAUAGAUAUGACUAGAAGUUUAUAUUGACUAAUCAUCCGGGGAAGUAAGAUCUCCCGGGCAAAGUACCGAUUGGAUUCGUCCGUGGGUACAGUGGGCAUUGGUCACGUUCAUCCACAGGCACAGUGGGCAUCGGUCGCGUUCAUCCACGGGCACAAGGGGCAUCGGCGCGUUCAUUCAAGGGCAAAGUGGGCAUCAGUUCCUUUCAUCCAGGGGCUACAAACAGCAAUCCAUCCGCACACCAGUGCCAAUCCGCUCAAUCCCUCUCAUGGGGAGAGCCUCCUGCUCAAUCCCUCUCAUGGGGAGAGCCUCCUGCUCAAUCCCUCUCAUGGGGAGAGCCUCCUGCUCAAUCCCUCUCAUGGGGAGAGAGCCUCCUGCUCAAUCCCUCUCAUGGGGAGAGCCUCCUGCUCAAUCCCUCUCAUGGGGAGAGCCUCAACAGAGGGCAGCAGUCAAUCCUACCGACUACGCCAUGUUUCAUGGCAGAGUGGUGGUAAAUGACUAGAUGUGUAUUGCAUAGAGAGGCGGGUAUAUAUACAGGAAAAGGGAAACCAUGGAGAGCAAUGAGAGAAGGUGUAGAGCGAGUAUGAGAGAGAACUAUGGGUGUCUAGAAUGAGAAUACAACAGGUGAUUGAAUGUACCUAAUAGAGGGUGAGAUAGUUCCGUAGGGGGCAGGGUUCGAAUCUUCCUUUUGGAAGUCACGGUUUUUCGGUAAUUUUUCGAACAAUCAAAAAAGGGUCUUUUUCCUUUCGGUUUUUUUCGGUUUUGUACUUUUUGCCAAAAAAAGCUUAAAGUCUACGUCAGAGCAUCCAUUUUUCUUGGAAUGAUUUGCGUUAGCUUAAAGACGCAUGGUAUAGGGGAUGUCAAGUAAAGGAAAUUCAAGGAAAAAUGUGGUCAGGUACCCUAAUUUUGGGCAUUUUGGGGAGAGAGAACUAAGACAAACAUCACAGUCAACUCGCACCAUUAGCCCAUUGAAUUUUCAAUAAUCCAGUGAUUUUGAGCGAGUUGUGUUACACGACCUACUAAAUGCACGCGCAUGUUUGGAGUUAAUCAGUGAACGCACCAUCAAAUUGACUCAAUACCACAAUGAUAAUUGCCUAGACAAACAUGUAAAAUGAAAAAAAAUGUCAAAAUCCAAUGCAUGCACAGUUCGGUUUGGCUGGGCAUGUCGUCUUUGAUUUUACUCCGUGGAAUAACGUCAAUAGUCCAUGAACGCGUUUACUUGACUAGCCCCAUCCAGUGGCUGUGAGUGAUUGACAUAGUUCAAUUGUGCAAUGAUGGUAAGCGUUAAAAAGUGACAUUCUACGAACGAUCCUUGGUCAGAGCAUGAAUCUAAACUAAGAUACUGUAGUAAGAUAUUUGAUGGAUCGAAAUAUUGAAGAGUGGUCUUACAAUUCCAAUUUCAGCUCCUAUUCCAGAUGACUGACAUGUUUUUUUGGGAGCCCGACCAGACUCAUUAAUUAUGCUCGUUCUAAACAGUUUGGAUGAAGGAGCCAAAUGCCAUCAGUGGAAAGAAAACGAAAAUAUGUCGAAUUUAGGUCCGCCCCAAUUUGACCUUCCAUCUCAAGAGACCGAGAGUUUGUGAACUGAAAUGAAAAUAGAAAAUGUUCUCCUUAAAGAACCGAGUGUGAAAAGAGCUUUCUUUACAACAGUACAUCAGUGAAAGGACGGAGCUGCGGAAUGCCACCAACUUGGAUGCUCAGAAAUUCAAUUACAAAAACUUGAAAGCAAAUUUUGGCCAAGGUUUUGAACAGCGAUAAUUAGAAGAGUAUUUUAAGUGUUUUAAUAUACUAAUAUGAGCCACUUUUAAAGAUGCUUAUUGAACAAAAAUUGUUCCUUUUGUUACUUUAGCAAAGCAAAUGGCCAUUAGAAGUCUCAUUAGCAUUUGCGCAAGCAUUUAACCAUUAAUCAUAGCCACCGUGUAUACUUCAUACACAUUUGUAGCAUGACAUUUGCUAAUUAUGGACUCAAGGAGUACCUGAGCCCAUCUUAACUAUAUCCAACACCCAAUGCUAUUCCUUUGUGAUUUUGAUUGGAGAGUUCAGUUCAUAAAACUUAUUGCUCAUAUCAUGGAGAUUCAAAAUACUUGCUCACGGAUGGAUGUCGAAUGCAAAAUGAAACUAAAAAGAUAAAAGUCAUGAUGACACUAUAGACUUUCAUUUCAAGUUCUCUAUUUGCAUCGUCUUGAUAGUUGUAGCAUUCUUGAAAUAAUGAGUUCAAAUACCAAGGACCUUGCCUCCGUCUGGCAAUAGUGGAAGUGAUUGGGUCAGAACACGCCACAUGGGUUCAAAUACCUGCAAUGGAUAUCCAUCGGGACCAAGGCCAGAAGGAAACCUCUAUGCCUAGUGGCUUGCAAUUGACUAGCUUUCUAAAUGUCAAUUUAUUUGAGGACGAGCCCAGUUUAGUUUAUUAUCCAACCAUUACCGUCAAUGGCGUUGGGAAUGCCACAAUGGAUUUGGAAAGAGAGGAGCAAUUCCAAUGGAGCUAUGGGUCAACCGGUAAGUGAAUGCAUUUAAAGGUAAAACAAUCAUGGCAAUCAUGAUUUGGCGUGUAAUAAUCUCAAAUCAAAUCUUUAGGUGAACAUCCAAACGGAGGCCAUUUAAGUUCCUUAUUGAAUUCCCCUAUCCAGGAUCCAAUUCGUCUUGACGUGGACCAAUUGAAUGAAAAUGUGGAGCGGCAUUCAAUGUCUCCUGCUUCCAUGAUGCAUGGAUUUCCAAAUCCCUGUCCCUUAGCGAGUGCGGUCAAUAUCCAGGAUCCAACUCGUCUUGACGUGGACCAAUUGAAUGAUUCGGCCACUCGUGAAAGGACGUAAGGAAGGAUUCCAGGCGAAAGGAUUCUAUGGAGCUGUUUUGAACGAGUUGGAGAAAACUAAGGCAAAAUGCUACCGGUGUGAAAGGUUAUACAGUACUCUCAGUCGAUCCACAUCAUCACUAUGGCGACAUCUCGGAAAGGUGAUAGUACUGUACUGUACUGUACUGCACUGGUAAUAAAAAGAUUCCAAAAGGAUACCCUCCGAAUUCCGACAGAAAAAGAGAUAAUGGCGUCAUAAUGGCUUUGCCAUAUGAUAACCACCAACUUGCAACCAAUAUCAAAUGUUGAAGAUGUAGGUUUCAAGAAUUUUGUGUUGCAAUGGAUCCCUUAUAUUCUCUCCCCAUCCCCCAACUUUGUCAAACGUCGACAUUCCCAACCUGUACACCAAAGUUCAAGACACUUAUUGCUGAAGCUCUCGAAACUAUUCAGAAGAAUCAAGGUCGAACAAAAGUCCAAAAACUUAUUCAAGACGUUCCAACGAGGUGGAAUUCGCCGUUUGAAAUGAUGGAACGUCUUUUGGAAAUGAGAGGCCCUGUUUCAAUGCUUCUCACGGAGCCAGGCAUGAGAGAAAGGGUUGGAAUAGGCGAUUCCAACACUUGGCAAGGUCUUCGGGAAGCAACCGAAGUCCUCAGACCCAUGUAUGAGGCCACAAUUGAACAAUCCAGCGAACGUUGUACAACAGGUUCCAAAAAUAUUCCCCUCACCAAGAUGUUGUUUCUUAAAAUAGAUUCUUUAAUCAGAGAUGGAUUCACAGGAUCCCUCAAAAGUGAUCUUGCCUUGGCUAUCCAGAGGAGAGGAACUUGCACCGCCGAUUCGGAAUGUUGGAAAACAACGUUGAGCUCGCCAUUGCUACAUUGCUAGAUCCCCGUUUCAAAACCAAAUGCUUCCGUGAUGGUUCAAAAACAAUCGCGGCUUCAAACCAAAUCCUGGCCGAGUUGACCAAGAGUCAGAUUUUACCCCGACCUUCAAAUCCAGGGUCCAACAUCCCUCACUCUUCCUCGUGGGAAUCGUUUGACGAGGUUAUUUCUGACCAAGUCUCUGUUCAAACGGUCCUGUUGGGAUAUUUGAAUAAUAUAUAUAUAUAUAUAGGCUGAUCUGGCAGACCCUUGAAU